GUUUGAUCCUGGCUCAGAACGAACGUUGGCGGCAUGGAUUAGGCAUGCAAGUCGAGGGAAUCCCCGCAAGGGGGGAACCGGCGUAAGGGGCAGUAGGGCGUGGGUACCCACCCCCGGGUCCGGGAUAGCCCGCCGAGAGGCGGGGUAAUACCGGAUGGUUCUCGGGAGAGGAAAGGUCCGCCGCCCGGGGCGGGGCCCACGUGGUAUCAGCUAGUUGGUGGGGUGACGGCCCACCAAGGCGGGGACGCCUAGCGGGUGUGAGAGCACGACCCGCGCCACUGGCACUGAGACACUGGCCAGACACCUACGGGUGGCUGCAGUCGAGGAUCUUCGGCAAUGGGCGCAAGCCCGACCGAGCGAUGCCGCGUGGGCGACGAAGGCCUUCGGGUUGUAAAGCCCUGUCGAGGGGGAGAAAGCCUUCACCGGCGGAUCGAUCCCUGGAGGAAGCUCGGGCUAAGUUCGUGCCAGCAGCCGCGGUAAGACGAACCGAGCGAACGUUGUUCGGAAUCAUUGGGCUUAAAGGGCGCGUAGGCGGGCGGCCGCGUCCGGGGUGAAAUCCCCCAGCUUAACUGGGGAACUGCCCCGGGUACGGGCCGUCCGGAGUGGGGUAGGGGCCCGCGGAACGGUGGGUGGAGCGGUGAAAUGCGUUGAGAUCCACCGGAACUCCGGCGGCGAAGGCGGCGGGCUGGACCCUUACUGACGCUGAGGCGCGAAAGCCAGGGGAGCGAACGGGAUUAGAUACCCCGGUAGUCCUGGCCCUAAACGUUGGGGACUGGGUAGCGGCCUUGCAUGGGGUCGCUGCCGGAGCGAAAGUGCUAAGUCCCCGCCUGGGGAGUAUGGCCGCAAGGCUGAAACUCAAAGGAAUUGACGGGGGCUCACACAAGCGGUGGAGGAUGUGGCUUAAUUCGAGGCUACGCGAAGAACCUUAUCCUAGUCUUGACAUG
rnacentral:rRNA from 1 species